UUAUUUAUUUAUCAAAGACUCAAUAAUUCUCUCUCUGUUCUUGUACCCAAAAAAAAAAGCUCCUUCUUUGUUCCUCAGGAACAGAAAGAAGCAGCUUCAUGACUACAAGCUGAGCUCAAAUCUCACCGAAUUGCUUAGUUCGUCUUAAAAUUCGAAAUUGGAAUCGGAGAAUUAGGGCUACUGCUUCAAGCUUCAGGCUGAAAGUGGACUUCGGAUGUGAUAUCGGGGCGGCGUGGAUUGGGCAUUGGACAUUUGGAUGGGCCACUAUCAAAAUCUGAGCUUGUUGCUCCUUCGACAUGUAAAUGCUAUUUCUGUGAACUGAAGGCAAUUGGGUGUGGUCAGUUGAAGUUCACCAGAAAGCACUAUUGUACAAGGCCCAUGGAAAGGGAGGAUGAUGAUUUUGGUAGUCUUCAUGAGGAUAGCAUGGAUGUCGGACUUCAAGCAACAAAUAGGUUGGACUUGAAUGUAGAGCAGGACUCCCGCAGCCCAAAAGUUGUCUAUGUCAACGGCACUCAGUCUAAUCCUCCCUCCAUAGGUGCAGACAGUAAAGAUUCAGUCUUAGAAGUUGGUACAGAGUUUGAGUCUGAUGAACAUGCCUACAAAUCUUACAAUAAAUAUGCCAGGUUGGUGGGUUUUAAUGUUAGGAAAGACUGGGUAAAUAGGAGUAAGGUACAUGGUCAGGUGGUAUCUAGGAAGUUCACUUGUUCUAAAGAGGGGUAUCGGCGGAAGGACAAAAGAGAUGUUAAUGUAAAGAAACAUCGAAAGGAAACAAGAACUGGUUGCUUGGCUCAUAUGAUCAUCACCCGUCAACCUGAUGGUAAAUAUCGGGUUACACAAUUUGAAGAACAACACAAUCAUGGCAAUGUAAAUUCAAGUAUUGCUCAAGCAUUGCCAGAACAACACAAUCAUGACAAUGUAAAUCUAAGUAUUGCUCAAGCAUUGCCAGAACAAAGAGAAUGCACUGUUCCUGAAGCUGCUGAUGCUGACUCGGUAAAAGAGUUAGGAUCAUUGUCAAAAUCGGCACUAGACUCGAUGAAUAGAGGGUUUAGGGUAAGGGAAUCUGUUGAUAGUUUUGCCUUAGAUUUUGAAAAUUAUCUUCAAUCUGAAAGGACUCGAGAUAUGAAGGAAGGAGAGGUGGGACGUUUGCUGCAUUACUUUCAAAGGCAGCACUUUGAAAACCCAUCGUUCUUUUACGCAAUACAGGUUGAUACUGAUGAUAAAGUGAGUAACAUACUUUGGGCUGAUGAUAAUAUGGUAUCAGAUUAUGACCAUUUUGGGGAUGUGGUUUGUCUAGACACGGUUUGCAGAGCAGACAAGAAUUGCCUGCCAUUUGUACAGUUUGUAGGAGUAAAUAAUCAUAAACAGGUAGUUAUCUUUUCUGCUGCACUGUUGUAUGAUGACACUGUUCAAUCUUAUAAGUGGCUAUUUCAAACUUUUGUGGAGUCGAUGUCCGGGAAGAAACCAAAGGCCAUUCUUACCGAUCAAGAUGCAGCAAUUGUUGAGGCAAUCAAUUCAGUUUUACCUGAAACAGACCAUCGGAUAUGCACAUGGCAAAUGUGCCAGAAUGCUCUCAAGCACCUUAACCACAUAGUAAAAGAUACCGAAUCUUUUGCCAAUGAUUUCAAGAGCUGUAUAUAUGACGAAAAAGAUGAAGAUGGGUUUGUGUAUGCUUGGGGGAAUAUGCUGGAUAAUUAUGGUCUUCAGCAGAAUGACUGGUUAAAAUGGAUGUUUAGGGAACGAGAGAAAUGGGCUGUGGUAUAUGGCAGGAAUACUUUUUUUGUUGACAGAAAAGGCUCACAUCUGGUUGAAAGUUUGUUUCAUGAUUUGAGAAAUUACCUAUACUCUGACCUAGAUGUGCUUGAUUUUGUUAAGUAUUUCGAAAGGUUGGUAGAUGAGCAACGUUACAAAGAAAUAGAAGCCAAUGAUGAAAUGAACCGCUGCAUGCCAAGACUAAUGGGGAAUGUGAUUUUACUAAAGCAUGCAAGUGAUGUUUACACUCCAAGGGCAUUUGAAGUGUUCCAGCGAGGAUAUGAGAAGUGUUUGAAUAUUGUUGUUAACCAAUGCAGUGAGAAUGGGCCAUUGUUCGAGUACAAAACCAACAUAUUUGGUAAAAGUAGAGAACACACCGUUACAUUCAACUCUUCUGAUGACGCAGUUAUUUGCAGCUGCAAGAAAUUUGACUCUGUUGGGUUUCUAUGUAGCCAUGCUCUUAAAGUACUUGAUCACAUGAAUAUAAAGGUUGUCCCCUCCAAAUAUAUCUUGAAGAGAUGGACAAAAAAUGCAAGGUUAGGGAGUGCAAGAGAGAAUGAUGUGUCCUCCAUCAGGGAUAACCCAAAGCUUGUUGUGGCAAGCCGUUACAAAAAUAUGUGCGGCCGAAUUAUUAUGUUAUCAGCCAAGGCUUCUGCAUCUGAGGAAGCAUUUCAAUUUGCUGUUGGACAACUUGAUGAAGUGAUGGAAGGUGUGGAGAAAAUCUUGACAUUAAAACCUCAGGAUGCUCAAGCUUUCACCUCAAGUAGCACCGCAAAUGCUUCUGAUAGUGAACGUGCAGUGGUUUUUCCAGAUGGAAAUGCAAUUGAAGAUCAGGAUGACAGUGUAGUAAAAGGAGCAAAGGAAAAAGAGACGGCUGUUUUUGACAAAGGUCAAUUAACAAAUGUGAAUGGUGAAUUCUCUAGUACAAAAAGAAUUCAGAAUGUAGAUACAUCCCUACAAAACACUGAUUCCUGCAUUUCGAGUCCGUCUUUGUAUGUUUCACCUGAAGGGACAACAGCAAAUCCCAUUAUGCAGGGUUUAUACAAUUUUGAAGCGAAUCAGGUGGUCCAGUGUAUGUACCAACAAGAUAAUCUGGUGCUGGAAGAGCAUUCCAAUCCUAACAUGUAUCAACCACUCAACUUCUUUUCUAACCAACACGAUUCACCUGGCCAUUCUCAACUACUACAGGAACCUCUGAUCAAUGGCACAUACCAAGAGCCCGUAUCAAGCACCCCUGAAUUGAGGCAAUGGAUCUCGAUGUCCAACAUCCACAUUCAUCUUCAUUCUUGCUUUUGGAUCGUGGAUAGAGGGCUUCUGACAGUCCAUUUCUUGUGCUCAAGUAAAGGCAAGGAGGGCCUUAAGGGCACUUAAAGCACUCGUGAAGCUUCAAGCUUUGGUGAGAGGCCACAUAGUGAGAAAACAAUCGGCAGACAUGCUCAGGCGUAUGCAGACACUGGUCCGAGUACAAGCCCGAGCACGUGCAAGUCGAACACUCAUGUCAGACUCACCACAUUCUAGCAGAAAAUCCUCCCUAUCUCACCACCCUCUCCCAGAAAGUCCUGACAAAAUUGGAUACCAACCCCGUGCUUGUAGCAGCAAAUUUGAUGGACCCUCAAUACUGAAGAGAUGCGGUUCAAAUUCAAAUGUAAGGGAUGUCGUAAAUCUAGACAGAAGACGGCUGGCGUCAGGUUGGUUAGACCGGUGGAUGGAAGAAAGUGCGCGGAACAACCGCCGAGAUGCUUCACUGAGAUAUGAGCAAGCAGAUGACGUAAGGGGUGACAAGAUACUUGAAGUAGAUACUUGGAAGCCUCACUUGGGCUCCCAACGUAGACCCCAAACCUUUCAAACAGCACAUCAUGUUCUGACUUCAAAUCGUUACAACCCAACCUUCAUGACAUUUGACUCUCCAUCAAAACA